rnacentral:lncRNA from 1 species
CCCCACCCACAUCCAUCAAUCACCUCCACACAUAUUCAGGCAUUUCUACCCCUUCCACCAUUAGUUCUCCCUCUCCCUCAGUGCACUGAUUUGCCUGCUUGCCCUAAUCCAUCAAUUUGUCUCCCACCAAUUCUAUCCGCCCUCACUAUCCAUCAGUCCUCUUUCCAUUCCAUUAAUCCUAUCAUUCCUCCAUUCCAUUAGUCUCUCUCUUUGUCCCCAUCUAUAAAUCCUCCAUUCCCAGAUGCUCAGUCCUCCCCCAGGAUUACGAUAUUGAUAUCCAGAAGAAAAGAAAAAAAACAGCCUUGCAGUUGUAUUUCCACAGGGAAACCAUAACAUUUGGAGUACAAGUGUUAUCACCAGUCAUAAGUCUUCCUCAGAAGCCAGGUCAGUGCUGCUGACCAAUAUGAAAAUCAACCCCCAUGUGUUCCAGUGAGGAUCUAUGUAAACUAGGUGAGAAGAAAAGCCCAGCACCAGGUCCAUCUGAUGAAGGAAGUCUGGCAGCACUGGUAAAGAGCACUGGGCCUUGCAGCAGACCUGGAGAGAGUGAGCUGGAGGCAAUCUGAACACCUCUAAGAACCACAGCUGCCUUGGGGGAACUGCCAAUAUGACCCCUUUUAAUGGACUCUGAACUUAUUUUACACAAAUGACAUGACAAGAAGAACAACACAUGCUGCAAUGGCAGUUUGUAGAGAACGAUAAAGAAGUAAAGAAGUUGAAUGAGAAAGAUAAGAGAGAAUGGCUUGACAAAAAAAAAAUGCAAGAGAAGCCAAAGAAGCAUCAGUGAGAAGUGACUCAAAGAAAUUAUUCCAGGUGUGUAAGCAAUUAUCAUCACAGUUUCAGAGUCACAGUGGUAUCAUAAAAGCGGAAGAUGGAAGAUUCUUAACAACGGAAGCAGAACAAAAGGAAUUAUGGUGAGAAUGUUUUAAUGAAGUGCUCAGUCAACCUGAGCCAACAAUUGCAAUCAAUGGAUGUGAAGAAGGUGAUAAAGAAAGCAGAAAUAGAGGAAGUCAUUAAGCUGCUAAAAUGGCAAAGCACAUGGUCAAGAUAAGAUCACUGCUAAAACGCUUGAAGGUGGGGAGGAAGUGGAAGAACAUGAAAUACAUAAACUUUGCAAUAUAGUUUGGGAGAAAUAAUUUUUCCUUGAGGAGUGGAAGAAAGGUGUGAUCUGUAAAUUACCAAAGAAACUCUGUACUGAGCAAGCAGGCUUUAGACUUUAAAGAUUGUGUAUACAUCACAUCUUUACCCUGUGUCAAUUGACUGAGGAAAGAUUACCAAUGAAGAUUAGUCUUGAACUUAAUACAUUUCAUCAAAGCUUUUAACUGCAUUAAUAGAGUGUUUCUAUGGAAGAUCUUGCAACAACAUGGGCUUCCUAGAAAGAUAGUGUCACUGAUUCAGAUGCUGUAUGAAGGUUGAAAAAUGUUGUUUAAGAACAGAAAGUGGAAAGACUGACUGGUUUGAUAUCAU